UAUCUAGACCUUAUGCUCAGGUGAUCUAUGAAAAGUAAUUCUGCAAGAAUAAGACAAUAAGUGACAGAAAACAACCUCCAUAAAGACAGCCAUUAAACGCCUACGCCACAUUAAGAAACUACAUUUCCCAACAGCCUUCGCGAACUUUUCCCACCUAAACCGGAAGUGACGCGAACUCGGCCUCUUUAAAUACGGCGGGUCGGCGUAGUGACGUCCUCUUGUCAUUGGUGCCAUCUUAGGAAGGCUCUUCUUCUCAAGAUGAGAGCCAAGUGGAGGAAGAAGCGAAUGCGCAGACUGAAGCGUAAAAGGAGAAAGAUGAGGCAGAGGUCUAAGUAAACGUCUCCUCCAUUGCUGUUCACAAGGCCUGCAAGCUAAACAGCACUCCAGAUAAAGAUGACCCUACAGCCUGUGAUCUUCGACAUUCCUUCCAUCUUGGGCCAACUGGCUGUCAGCGCGGAUGUGACCACCUUUCUGGAAUCGUCAAUACUGUAGAAGCUGAACAGCCCGUGAUAUCUUGGACUGAUGAGAAUGCCCCCUGCUCUCAGGAGUUGGACUUUUUAGUUUAUGGUCUUGUGCAGCAAGUGUAAUAAACAGGUUUUUGGUUAAACCAAG